rnacentral:misc_RNA from 1 species
UAUUAAUAUAUUAUUAUUAUUCGUAUUAUUAUUCGUGACUUGUAGUAAGUACAAUAAUAUUAUUAUAUAAAAUGUCCAGAAACUGUUUUGUUCCUGGAUGUCGAGAGGGCUACAAAUCCAAAAUUAAAAUUAAUAAAUGGCAAGGAAUAAUAAAAACAACAAUGUUUAAGGCGCCCAAGGAUCUACUGCUUCUGGAGAAAUGGGUCAAAGCUAUCCCACGAGCUGAUAGAGAAUUGCGUCCUGGGAUUGAUAGUGUAUGCGAAAAACAUUUUGAUGAAACCUAUCUUAAUAGAUAUUUUGAAACCAAGUCGCCUGAUGGUUCAAUUAAUCAAAUAAAAAGAGAUAGAAUAAUAUUAAAAAACAAUGCGAUUCCAUCAAUUUUCCCAGAUUUGCCACAGUAUUUAACUAAAAAGAGACCGAUUGAAAAAAUUAUUGCAGAAAAAAAGAUACUUUUUAAUAAUUAUAUUCCAAAUACAAUUGACGAUAUUUCAAAUACAACUGACCAUGUUUCUGAAACUUUUAAUAAUUUACAUGAUAUACUAAAAAAUAUGUCAUUACCUGAUGGAUGGUUUUUUACUUAUUUGAAUAGAUCAUUGGUAUUAGGUAAUUUAGAUUCAAAUUAUGAAUUAAUAAAAAAAAUUAUAGUAUCAAAUAAUGACUUAAAUUUAAAGGUAUUCAUUAGAAAUAAGUUAAUCAAUAUAACAUGUACGUCAGUUACAUGUAUUGAAGAUAUAACAAAAGUACUAAAAAUUGUUGAUGAUUUUGUAAUGUGUCCUGGAACUGGAAUUGAUAAUUGUCCAAAAUCUGAUCAAUGUUGUGAGCACAUAAAUUUAAUUUCAUUGAAUCAAGUUCGUAAUCCACGCUGUACUGAGUGUGCCAAAAAAAGGAAAUAUUUUAUGGAUACUCAAAGAGUUUCCCUAGAACAGAUUAAUGAAAAACCAACUACAAAACCUGUUUUAAAGAAUGUUUUACGAAUAAAUAAACGGCUUAAUAUUAAAGUAUGCAUAGUUAAUAAGUUGUGAAGUUGAAAAUAAUACAAUUUAAUUUGUUAUUCUCUAGUUAAACCUAACUUAGUCCAUCCUUGGAUGGAACUGUGGUAGUAUAUUAAGUCAUUGUAUAAAGAGCUAUAUAUAACAUAUUAUACAAUUUUUUAUACUGUGAUUAAAUGUUGUUUAUUAGUAGACUCAUAAUUCUCUAUGGCCAUUUCAUUGUUAAAUUAAUUAAAAUUACAAAAUAUACUAAUAUUUAAAACUAAAUUGAACCUCUGUUAGUCCUCUAUGGUAUUACUUAUCGAUUAAUGUGUUAUACUCUUAAGAUAUAUAUAUCUUAGAUCAUAAUAAAUUGUAUUGAAAUGGCCUAAUUAUAUUUCUAAUUAAUACACAACUUGUUGCUUGUGAAACUAAAAUCUGUGUAUACUAAAUUAUAUGUUAUGUAUUUGUGUAGUAUUAAAAAAAACAAUAUAAAUUAUUAAGUUGCUUGUGAGACUAAACUCUGUGUAAACUAAAUAUUAUAUGUUAUGUAUUUGUAUAGUAUUAAAACACAAUAUAAAUUACAUUAAGUUGCUUGUGAGACUAAAAUCUGUGUAUACUAAAUUAUAUGUUAUGCAUUUGUGUAGUAUUAAAAAAAAAACAUGAAGUUCCAUUUCUUAUGAGCAUGAAUUGCUAGUGAGACUGUAUUCUGUUACAAAUUUACAAGCUAAAGUAGGAUUGUUAAAACAACAAUGUGCAGAAGCAUCUGCAAAAUCUAUAGAAGAAGCAAUUAUAGAGAUGCCAGAAAAUCAACAGGAAGCUGUUCGCACUUGCUUUGCAG